rnacentral:rRNA from 1 species
GACGAACGCUGGCGGCGUGCUUAACACAUGCAAGUCGAACGGAAAGGCCCAGCUUGCUGGGUGCUCGAGUGGCGAACGGGUGAGUAACACGUGGGUGAUCUGCCCCUAACUUCGGGAUAAGCUUGGGAAACUGGGUCUAAUACCGGAUAGGACAAUCGUUUAGUGUCGGUUGUGGAAAGUUUUUUCGGUUAGGGAUGAGCUCGCGGCCUAUCAGCUUGUUGGUGGGGUAAUGGCCUACCAAGGCGUCGACGGGUAGCCGGCCUGAGAGGGUGGACGGCCACAUUGGGACUGAGAUACGGCCCAGACUCCUACGGGAGGCAGCAGUGGGGAAUAUUGCACAAUGGGCGCAAGCCUGAUGCAGCGACGCCGCGUGGGGGACGACGGCCUUCGGGUUGUAAACCUCUUUCGACAGGGACGAAGCGUUGGUGACGGUACCUGUAUAAGAAGCACCGGCUAACUACGUG